AGAGUUUCUGCCUCCAUUUUGAGAAGGUUCUGUCCCUGGAACCUAGACUGAUAGACUCCUCAUCAGCUUGGCUUGUCCUGCCUACUGUUCUAACUUCUGAUUGGCCAGAUGGAGUUCACUAACUGCCCUGAUUGGUCCAUCAUCCUGGAGCAGUGACAUUCCAGAAUAUUUUCUCCUCCUCCAGCCACACUUUGUCACCAACUGCUGCCAACUCGCCACCACUGCUGCCGACCUCGCAACCACUGCUUUGUCUCUGAAGUCAGAGUGCUCCUGGUGCCAUGAACGGAGACGACACCUUUGCAAAGAGACCCAGGGAUGGUGCUAAAACAUCAAAGAAGAGAAGCAAGGCCUUUGAUGAUAUUGCCACAUACUUCUCUAAGAAAGAGUGGAAAAAGAUGAAAUACUCGGAGAGAAUCAGCUAUGUGUAUAUGAAGAGAAACUAUAAGGCCAUGACUAAACUAGGUUUCAAAGUCACCCUCCCACCUUUCAUGUGUAAUAAACAGGCCACAGACUUCCAGGGGAAUGAUUUUGAUAAUGACCAUAACCGCAGGAUUCAGGUUGAACAUCCUCAGAUGACUUUCGGCAGGCUCCACAGAAUCAUCCCGAAGCCAGCAGAGGACGAAAAUGAUUCGAAGGCAGUGUCAGAAGCAUCUGGCCCACAAAAGGAUGGGAAACAACUGCACUCCCCAGGAAAAGCAAAUAUUUCUGAGAAGAUUAAUAAGAGAUCUGGACCCAAAAGGGGGAAACAUGCCUGGACCCACAGACUGCGUGAGAGAAAGCAGCUGGUGAUUUAUGAAGAGAUCAGCGACCCUGAGGAAGAUGACGAGUAACUCCGGAUCCUCACCACCCAGGAUGCUGUGGGUUCCCAAACCCCAGGUCAGCCCUGAUAUGUGGCCACACCUUCUUCUAGCCUAGGAAUGCAUAAACCAGCCUGGGGGAAUACAACACAUGCCCUUGAUGAGAAGCAGAACGUGCUGACCUUUCACGAACAUGGGCAUGGCUGCGGAUCCCUCGUCAUCAGGUGCAUAGCAAGUGAAAGCAAGUGUUCACAACAGUGAAAAGUUGAGCGUCAUUUUUCUUAGUGUGCCAAGAGUUCGAUGUUAGUGUUUCCAUUGUAUUUUCUUACAGUGUGCCAUUCUGUUAGAUACUAUCCUUAUAAUUGAUGAGCAAGACAUACUGAAUGCAUAUUUCGGUUUGUGUAUCCAUGCACCUACGUCAGAAAACAAGUAUUGUCAGGUAUUCUCUGCAUAGAACAGCGCUAUCCUCAUCUCUCCCCAGAUGUGACUACUGAGGGCAGUUCUGAGUGUUUAAUUUCAGACUUUUUCCUCUGCAUUUACACACACACACACACACACACGCACGCACACACACCAAGUACCAGUAUAAACAUCUCCCAUCUGCUUUUCCCAUUGCCAUGCGUCCUGGUCAAGCCCCCCUCACUCUGUUUCCUGUUCAGCAUGUACUCCCCUCAUCCGAUUCCCCUGUAUCAGUCACUGACAGUUAAUAAACCUUUGCAAACGUUC